UGACAUUUUGAAGCGGGACGCAUGCUGAUUCAAAAUCAAGAACAGGAAGUAAAAUACGGAUACUGUCUGUGAAAUAGCCUAUUUUUGAUCAUGCAGUAACAAAGACUUUUCAGAUAUCACGGAGAAGUUAAGAAUAAAGUGCUUGAAAGUAAUUUGGAAAUUCAGUUAAAUGAUCAGCAAGAUAUUUACAUGUGAGAAUAUAUCCACGAGAAUUUGGUGAAAAUGGAAACACAUAGAGUAUACACAAUUUACUUGACAAUGUUGUUUCUAACGUUGAAACAGAUAGCAGAAGUCAGCGCAACCUAUAUCGACACAGAUCAGAAGACAAAUUGUAAAACACAACAAAUCUAUCAUCGGGUGUCUUUAAAUUGCAGUCAUCAAAACCUGACCUAUAUUCCAAAUACCGAGACCUUCGUGCAAAGUCUGAUAUUUGGAUACAAUUUUUUAACAAAUGUCACGUCGGGAACAUUUACAAAUAUCAGCAACCCGGGAGAUUUGAUAGAGCUUCAGCUCGAUCACAACGACAUUAAGAACAUUUCAUCAGAUGCUCUUCUUACGUUUACAAAAUUGAAAUACUUGUAUUUAUCAAACAAUCCUAUAGACUACAACAACUUGAAAGAUCUUUUCGGCUCUUUGGCAAAAUUGAAAUUUCUUUCGCACUUGAGAUUGAGCGACGUACCCACUAUCACUCUGGGAAAAGAUUUAUUUUCACUACUGGAAGAAAAUCGAAUUGGAACGUUAGAAGUAAAAUUCUACAAGUUGACAAAAUUUUCAAUGGACACGUUUAGAAAUUUUAACAAUUUGAGAAGUAUUUAUCUUAGAGACAAUCAAAUUGUGGAGCUGAUUUUAUCUAAACAUAAAAAUUUGCAGUCUUUAUACAUUGACCACAAUACUCUAAGAGUAUUCCCUAACUUUUCAUUGAGUGGAAAUGAUUCAGACUGCUAUUUUCCAAACUUGGAAGUUCUCAAUGUCCAAAGCAACAGUAUAGAUGCUCUUAAUCCGAACAAUUUCAAAUGUCUGCAGAAAUUACAUAAUCUUAAACUUGGUCAAAAUCCUAUUAAAGUAUUGCGGAACAAUGUCUUGACAGAGUUACCUAAUCUUGAUUUGUUACAAUUGAGGUAUUUGAGAGCAGGAAGUUUAUUGAUUGAACCAUUUGCUUUCAAUUCAACAUCACUCAAACAGCUGAAGUUCGGACUAGGAAGUAGAGCUAGAGAUGUUUUCGUUUCUUUCAAUGACACAUUCAAGUUUUUGCCAAAUCUGAAGCGUUUGAUAAUAUAUCGAAUCAACAUGCUAGAAGUAACAAGUGAACAAUUAGCAAGUCUAUUUUCUCCCCUCACUAAUCUCACUUUAUUCCGUUGUUUCGCGUGUAAGAUUUCACAGGAUCCGAAAUUCAUCUUGAAUAAUAUGAAUUCUGUAAGUAAUAUUGGUCUGCAAGGCAAUCUUAUUAAAACAGUAAGUGGCGAAACGUUUGCGAAAAACAACUAUUUGAAAUUUCUCAAUUUAAGAUAUAAUCAAAUUGGCCACAUAAAGGAGUCAGCUCUUCCAAGAACACUUUUAGGAAAAUUGCAUCAGUUAGAUCUCAGUGAAAACCCCUUUGUGUGUGACUGUGAACUUGAAUGGUUUAUUAACUGGCUGAAAAGUAAACCGAAAGGGACAAUAGUCGAAAAUUAUCCACACGGCUAUAUAUGCUUCAGACCGGCUGGAAUGUCUAAUAAACAGCUGUCAGAAGUGACCUUCACCUACAGAGAAUGCCACCCGUGGAGUCCCUGGAUUUGGACCGCCGUUAUUGCUUCGCCUUGUAUCAUUGUGAUAGCCAUUGUCGGUAUUCUACUCUACAGAAAUAGAUGGAAUAUUAAGCAUUAUAUCUAUUUGUUACGAAAAAGAAGAAGCUACAAGGCAAUACCUGGAAAUGACUACGUCUUUGAUGCCUUUGUUGCCUAUAAAGCAGAGGAUUCCGAAUGGGUACACGAUAGGCUACUUCCGGUUCUUGAAGAUGAAAUUGGGUUGAAAUUAUGCAUUCAUGAACGAGAUUUUAAACUAGGAGUGUUUAUAAACGACAAUAUUAUUACCAAUAUAGACGCUAGUGAGAAAAUGAUUCUGAUUCUUUCGAAUUCCUUUGCACGUAGUGGAUGGUGUAUGUUCGAGCUGAAAGUUGCGCAUACUAAACUCAUUGAAGAAGAAAAAGAAUUGGUGAUUAUUCUCUUAGAGAAAAUAGAUGCAAAAAACAUGAAAAAUUCUAUCAAAGUUCUUUUAAAUACGACAACUUAUAUAGAAUGGACAGAGGAUCAAGUGGGCCAAGAUCUGUUCUGGACAAAACUUAAAAAUGUUCUUAAGAAGUGAAGCCUAUAAAAUGUUACACGUGAUCAAAUGUAUAAGAAGAUGCGUUGGAAGUAUAGCGUGCAACCAAGAAAAAAUAGCAUAUAACAAUUUUCACGCCCCUACUACUACCGGCUGAUGCGGAUUUCUAUUAUAUAUAAACUUGAAAUAAACUGAGUGAUCAUUACGCACAAGAAAAUACUUACUGUGAAAUGAUACUAAUUCAUGGGGAAUAUUUUUGUGGAUUUUGUCCUUGCAUCAAUCCACGAAAUUUAAUCACAACAAACUUAUACAAUUCUGAACCAACUGAUAAAUGAAAUAGACAUUUUCAAACGUCAUGCAAGAUUUUUUUUCUACGAUGUCAACUUGAAGAUCCAUAACGAAACUCAACAAUGUCCGAGGGUUUACUUAUACUCGUCAGCGGAUUCGGAAUACUUCAGACGUAGAUGUAGCUCAGUGCGCACAUGACAUUCCAUAAAAGCCGGAAAUUGGCGAGAUCGCAUCCAGAGAAUACGUCAUUUGCUACCAAUUAUUGUGGAUCCUUUACCUUUGUGUCAAGGUCACGUACCGACGUAACAAUAACUUGUAAGGACUUCUGGUGUUGAAUAGCACAUAUGAAAGCAUAUUAUAAAAUCAUAACACAGAAUUGACUUAAAGAUUACCAAUGCAUUGCAAUUUUGAUACGUUGAUCGUAAUAACUUUAUCCAACCAAAAUGUACAUGAAGAAAAUAUCUUUCACCGAGUGAACACAAGAAGCAUUAUUUUCAUGAGUAGCGUAACUGUGUAGGUCAAUGUCACAGAAACCUUGAAACAGAAAGUUUCCACUCAAUAUCUAAAGAAAGACUUAUUCCACAGUCGUCAAACUUCCUGUGAUGUUUGCCUGUAGUUAGCAAACGAUCCUGUUAUUUUGGGGGUUUAGUAACGGUUAUAGUGACCUCGAUGAUCCCUGCUGAUACGGAGGUCAUUUGGUGGUAAAGUCACAGGACAAUGUAAAUAAAAGUUGUAUUCACCAGGCGAAUACCUAACACAUGAAGGGUUUAGAUACGAAAUUGCCUUCUCGACAACGGAUGGACAAAUAUUAAGUACAAAAUGUAAUGAAAAUGCUGGAUAUUGAAAAACAAACAGGUUUAGUAGGUAGGGCAUACCGUUUAACGGCUGUUAUAGCACAUAAAAAACAUCAUAUGCUUCAUUGUGGCAACCUUUUGCUAAUUUAUUUGAUGAUGAGAUGGAAUUAGCAGCCAUUUGUUAAAAAAA
rnacentral:misc_RNA from 1 species